AGGUCAAAUAGUUUAUAAAGAUUGGGAUUUUGUAAAUCUUAGGAGCUCAUUACGGGCUUUGACCUG